rnacentral:rRNA from 1 species
GGGUCACUAGGUUGGACGUGCCACCGGUACGUACUGGUCUCACUGAUUCCUCCUUCCUGAAGAACCGUAAUGCCAUUAAUUUGGUGUUGCGGGGAAACAGGACUGUUACUUUGAAAAAAUUAGAGUGUUUAAAGCAAGCUAACGCUUGAAUACAUUAGCAUGGAAUAAUGAAAUAGGACGAUCGAUCCUAUUUUGUUGGUUUCUAGGAUUGACGUA